rnacentral:rRNA from 1 species
GGCCUACGGGAGGCAGCAGUGGGGAAUAUUGCACAAUGGAGGAAACUCUGAUGCAGCAAUGCCGCGUGUGUGAAGAAGGCCUUAGGGUUGUAAAGCACUUUCAGUAGGGAGGAAAAGUUUAAGGUUAAUAACCUUAGGCCCUGACGUUACCUACAGAAGAAGCACCGGCUAACUCCGUGCCAGCAGCCGCGGUAAU